GCCGCGGUAGCUCAGUUGGGAGAGCGUUAGACUGAAGUCAAAUGACCUUGUGGUCAUGCGAUGCGGAAUCUACAGGUCACCCGUUCAAUCCGGGUUCGUGGCA